UACGUAGGGUGCGAGCGUUGUCCGGAAUUAUUGGGCGUAAAGAGCUCGUAGGCGGUCUGUCGCGUCUGCCGUGAAAACCCGAGGCUUAACCUCGUGGCUUGCGGUGGAUACGGGCAGACUAGAGGUAGGUAGGGGAGAAUGGAAUUCCCGGUGUAGCGGUGAAAUGCGCAGAUAUCAGGAGGAACACCGGUGGCGAAGGCGGGUCUCUGGGCCGAUACUGACGCUCAUGCACGAAAGCGUGGGAGCAAACAGG
rnacentral:rRNA from 1 species